UACGGGGGGGGCAAGCGUUGUUCGGAAUUACUGGGCGUAAAGGGUUCGUAGGUGGCUUGCUAAGUCAGACGUGAAAUCCCUCAGCUUAACUGGGGAACUGCGUCUGAGACUGGCAAGCUCGAGUGCAGGAGAGGAACGCAGAAUUCCAGGUGUAGCGGUGAAAUGCGUAGAUAUCUGGAGGAAUACCGGUGGCGAAGGCGGCGUUCUGGACUGCAACUGACACUGAGUGAACGAAAGCGUGGGGAGCGAACAGG
rnacentral:rRNA from 1 species